CGCAGCCAAGGGACACAUGCCCGCAACCUGCCCGCCUGUCUCCAGGGCCUUGGGGACGCUUUGUCUGCACUGUCUCCUCUGCCUCACCGUCUCUUCCUCUCCUUUUCAGCAUCUUACUCCAUCUCUGGUCUGUCUAGCUUCAGCCUCUGCUUCUCUCCUAUCAGGCAGUCACCGGCUGCUACCCUGAGCCAGUGUGAUUUAGCAGGAAUUGUGGGGGUCACUUGUAACCACCCUCCCCCAUCUGUCCUUCUUUCUAUGGGGCCCCCUCAACACCCCUUCCCCCAGGGCAGUCCUUGGAACAGGGAGGACACCCUCCCCUCCGUACCGCCACUGCAGUGCUUCCUGUAGGGUGGCACUCUCUCCUGCCCAGGGCAGGCAUCUCUCUCCAUGUGUAUUAUUACAACUGCCUCUGGGUCUUUCCUCUGCUGCUGGAGCCUGAGACUGAGCCUCACUGUCCUCCCAGGCUUCAGAUAUUUGAAGGUUUUCAUCCUUUUUCUUUCUUUUUUUUUGGUCAAGCCUUGUACCUUAGUCCUCAGACCUGAGAUCGAACUUGAACCCCCCUGACAGUGAAAGCUUGGAGUCCUAACCACUGGACCGCCAAGGAAUUCCCUGAAGGCCUUUGUCCUUGACUUUCCUUCUCCAGCCAGAUGCCCUGUGCAGCUCAAGUUUUCCAGCCUGGCAUCCCCCACCCAGGAGCCUCCUCUAGCCCCACCUGCAGUGACUUCUGCUGUUUUAAUCUGCCACCUCGUCUCCCCCUUUUUCAGUCGUAGCACUCUCAUUUCUUUGGGAAACGUGCUCACCUGGUUCUGGAGGGGCAGCCAUGUAACCCACCAGAGGCCUGGCUCUUUGUGGCCCUCUGUCCCCUGAUGUGGUGGGCUCAUCGCCUUCCCUGGGCCCCCUGAGAAAGGCCUGACAGACACAGAACAAGAACACACCUCUCUUUCCCACCUCUGAGCCCUGCUACCUGUCUGCCUCCUGAGGGAGCCAGACUGUCACCCAGAGACCCAGAGAUGGCAGGAACCAUGGGGUAGAGGCCACUGCAGGGUCUGGAAAGCCAGAAUGCAGAAAGGAGCAUAAACGUGGAUGUGACAGCCAGAUCCUAUAGACGGUAGCCCACCAGGCUCCUCUGUCC